rnacentral:rRNA from 1 species
UACAGGGGGUGCAAACGUUGCUCGGAAUUAUUGGGCGUAAAGAGCUCGUAGGCGGCUCGGUAAGUCAGGUGUCAAAUCCUCAGGCUCAACCUGGGGCUCCACCUGAUACUGCUGUGGCUAGAGUCCGGUAGGGGAGCGUGGAAUUCCUGGUGUAGCGGUGAAAUGCGCAGAUAUCAGGAGGAACACCAGCGGCGAAGGCGGCGCUCUGGGCCGGAACUGACGCUGAGGAGCGAAAGCGUGGGUAGCAAACAGG